CGCACAUUGCGCCCCUUGGUAUUCCGGGGGGCAUGCCCGUUCGAGCGUCAUUUCACCAAUCAAGCUUGGCUUGGUAUUGGGCCACGGGGGCGACCCGGGCCUCAAAGUCGUCGGCUGGAAAGUUUUCGUCUCGGCGUCGUGGCAAUCAAUUCGCUGGCGACGGGGGCGGUCCACGCCGUUAAACCCAUCACAGGUUGACCUCGGAUCGGGUAGGGAUACCCGCUGAACUUAA
rnacentral:misc_RNA from 1 species